ensembl:lncRNA
UGGCCACAGUAGUACUAAUAUCUCAGAUAAAGUAAUAAUCGUAUUUAUGUCAUAAAUGAAACAAAUGUGAGUUUUUACACUUCAUAACGUUCUUUGCUCUUUUGUUUGUUCAUUUCUAUCACUGAGGGUCAACCUCUGUGGUCUCCCCCCUUCACACGGGGCUUCAAUGGACAGUUCCAUCUGAUGAAGUUGAAAAAGGCGAAUCAACCUGUUCCACACCAGAGCCAGAGCCGCUGCGUCUGCUCUCCAAUCCGAGCACGGUUCGCAGCCGCCGGCUUUCUCCAGAGGACCGCUCAUGAUGCGUCUCCACCACGAACGACGGAACGCGUGUGAAUAAUCCGCUGGAGAUUGCGGGAGAAUCCAGCUCCAGAAGCCGAAGGUCUGUUCGGAUGGUGAGGAGCGAGCGGGCGGUCGAGCAUCCAUGCGCCUCGGCGGACUGUUGCGAAGUGAGCUGUGCUCGUGCGCCGGCUGCUGAAAUGCAGUCUCUCAUCUCACCAGUGACUAAGGCUAUCCUUGUAGCUCUGUUUAUUUUUGCCAUUUUGCUCAUCCUGUACGUGAUACUGUGGUAUAUAUGCAGAGACGUGGACUGUGAUCACGGCAUUUGAAUUUGGAGACCGAAGCUGCGGAUCCGCGGAGACGUCAGGGUGACCCCGUUUUGCCCAAACAGAAUGGCAAGGAUGUAAUACUGACAGGCGGCAAUAAAGGACUCGGCUAUGAGACGGUCAGACAGCUGACGAAUCUGGGAGUUUAUGUCAUAAUAGCCUCACAUGAUGAAGCGGAGGGUCUGGCCGCUGUGAAGAAGAUUUGUGAGGAGGACAGUGAAGCUCAGCUCCAAAUGCAGCCCAUCAGCUCCACAGCACAUCAGUCAUACGGAGGAGAACAACAUCCUCAGGAGAGACAGAAGAACAGGAUGAAAUCAGAACAAGUUCAGGAUGAAAUGAACUUCUGCUUCUCUGAAAAUGAAGGAUAUUUCUGCAGAUGCAGGGCGUUUUGUGUCUCAGCUGCUUCAGUCGUCGUGUCUGGACCUGUGUCCACCCACAACAGCUGAGACACUCCAUCAAACGCUCAGCAAAAAUGACACUGUCUGUGGGAUCGUCAGAAAGACCCUGAAGCACUCGAACCAGAAUGUUCCACGCUCAGCACAAGACAAGAAACCACAGAAAAUCAUUCAGACACACCUCUGAGUUUCAAUAAACACAGUGGAAAAACA